rnacentral:rRNA from 1 species
AUUGAACGCUGGCGGCAGGCUUAACACAUGCAAGUCGAACGAGAGGCGGACGGGUGAGUAAUGCUGGGGAAACUAGAUUAUGGAGGGGGCUAACUACGGGAAACUGUAGCUAAUACCGCGUACCAUAGGAUGAGCCCAAGUGGGAUUAGGUAGGUGGUGAGGUAAAGGCUCACCAAGCCGACGAUCCCUAGCUGGGCUGAGAGGAUGACCAGCCACACUGGGACUGAGACACGGCCCAGACUCCGACGUGAGGCAGCAGUGGGGAAUAUUGCGCAAUGGGGGAAACCUGACGCAGCCAUGCCGCGUGAAUGAAGAAGGUCUUCGGGUUGUAAGGUUCUUUCGGUAGCGAGGCGUUAACUACAGAAGAAGCACCGGCUAACUCCGUGCCAGCCGCCGCGGUAAUUC